ensembl:lncRNA
AGAAGUCUUAUUUUUUAUUCAAUGAGGUUAUUAAUGUUACACAUCACAACAGAUAGAAAACAUUAGUCCAAAAAAGAGGACUGUGGAAUAAUAAGUAUUAAUAAUAUUAAGUAAUGGCAAAUAUUUUUACAGUCAAAAUGGCAUGAUCACCGGCAUGUCUGUCUGUCAAAAUGUAACAUCGCAGACUCGAAGCACAAAAGGUCAGGUUAUAAAAAAAGGACACACUCGUACACACAUGCAGCACAAACUGACGAGCAACUUUAUCUAACAGCUCCUCGCCUGAGGAGCGCCACUACAAAAUACAACUUGUUCCAUUUAGCAUAGCUUCUUCCUACUUUACAAAGUAUCAGUCCAUGUAUCCUUCAGGUGUUGUGGUGCAUGGGUGCAAACCAACUUCAUCUGUGUGUCUGAGUCUGUAUUUGAUUAAGGUAUGAUCAAAUAAUGGCAUCAUAUAAAGCACUUGUCAUUGGACAGAAUAUCUGCUGACAAAAAAUGAACUGGAUAACAACUUUAUACAACAAAGUAUAAUUACAAAGAAAGGGCAGGAGUGCACUGAAGGAACACCAAACUAGUUGUGUUCACUUUUCCUGCUCACAGAUCUUGCUCCGAAGUGUAUAAUUAGGGCUGAAAUGAUUAUUUUUUAAAGAAAUGUUUAACUGACUGAUAACACCACCGCCUCUUCUGACUAAUCAAGAAAAACGUCACUCACGGUUUUCCAGAGCCCUAAGUGGCGUAUUGAGAGUGCCUUUUUUGAGAAACCAAUUAAAAACCCACCACAUAUUCCUAAUCCUCAUGUUUAUGCAAGUGAAAUCCUCAAACAACAUUUUUUUUUCUUUAACUGACUGGAGUUAAUCAGUUAUCAAUAUGGUUUGAAUAUCAUUUCUGUAAACUAAUUAUUGAAGGCCUAAACUCACUGAACUGUAUUUGACCAGAGACAGUAUAAAAAUGAAAACUAAAAAAUCUUAGGUUGCCCAUCAGUUGAUGAAUGACUGAUGUUUAUGGGCUCAGUCACUCAUUUUGGGACAUAAUGAAUUAAAAAUUAAGGCUGUUUUGUAGAUUUUGCUUGUUCUGUGUUUUAAAAUAGACAAUUAUCUCUGCUAUGAAACCGCACGCUCAUUUCUUAAUGAGGGUCAAUUUAAAGUCUUUAGCCAAUGAUUCAGUUCAAUUCAAUUUAAUUCCAUUUUUUUUGUAUAUAUUGCCAAACUAUAACAAUAUUCACUUCAAUGAGCAUGCAUUUUCACAGUAUGAUCUGCUUUUCCUUAU